rnacentral:rRNA from 1 species
UACGUAGGGGGCGAGCGUUGUCCGGAGUUACUGGGCGUAAAGCGCACGCAGGCGGUGCGGCACGUUUGGGGUUACAGCUCCCGGCUCAACUGGGAGAGCGCCUCGAAGACGGCGGCACUUGAGGGCCAGAGAGGGACACGGAACUCCGGGUGGAGUGGUGAAAUGCGUAGAUAUCUGGAGGAACACCGGUGGCGAAGGCGGCAUCCUGGACCAAUUCUGACGCUGAGGAGCGAAAGCCAGGGGAGCAAACGGG